rnacentral:lncRNA from 1 species
GCGAAGCUCGGCAGCCGCCCCCUCCGCGAGUUCCCUCCCCGGGCCCCGCUCCCCUGCCGGGCUGGCAGGACGCCUUCGCCGUCGCCCUCACCAGUCGCUAGAUGAAGGUCGACACUCGGAAAGGAGGUUAAGGCUGGGAUGGAGGAAACAAGGAACUGGCUGGAUGCCCAAGCACCACUCCGUAGAAACGUGGGCAUCUUAGAAAAGUUGCUUCCCGGAUCACUCGUAGUGGGAUAACUGGAAAACCAGAGGUGUCCUCUCCCCAAGACUGGGCCCUGCUGCUCUGUGCCCCGCCUGUUGUGCCCGGAUUGUCUGAGUGUCACUCUCUUUUUGUCAGAAGGCGCCAUAGAUUUUUCAGAUCGCCACUGUGCGACCAGCUGCUGACUUGGGUCACAUCUGUCUGCCUGACGCCAGGCUUACAAUAGGUUUUCCUCCCUGAACUCUUAAAUCUACAAGCCAUUUUAAAGGUUGCAAAUUGUGUGCCAAUAAUCAGUCCAGAACGGAAAACAUACUCCUGCUGAAGUCUGAUACAGAGGCGCCUUAGUAAACAUGUGUUCAGGGAGGAGUAGCAUGACUCAGAGAAAAACAGCACUUGGAGCCCAGAGUUGUUUGAACCUCGGCCCUGUUUGUGUUGCUGUAUGAGCCACUGACACCAUCAUCUAUUAAACGGAGUUAAACUCAAUACCCUCUUAGACUGCUUCAGCCCAAUUGCCUGUUUUGUAGACUUUGUAGGAAAGUAAGUUGCUAGAUCAAACUGAAGGAGAGAUGGAAACAGACCUAGCUCCCCAGCUCUCCUCCCAGUGCAAGGACUUAAUUUGCUUUCUUACUUCCUACUCUGACCCAUUCUGUAAUGUAUAAACAGUGACUUGGAAGGAAGCUGUGUACACACUCAUGAACAAAGACGCUCAGUGAUCUGGAAGCUAGUGAUGUAAAUAAAUGUGUUGCCCUGAGUUCAC